GGGAUGUUGCGGGAGGAAAGUCCGGGCAACACGAGCCGCCAUACUUCCUAACGGGAAGGCGACAGGAAGGCAAGCGUCCUGUCGACAGCAAGUGCCACAGAAAGAUAAACCGCCCGUCCGCACAGGGCAGGCAAGGGUGCAAGCGCGAGGCAAGAGCUCACGACGGGCAGCAGUGAUGCAGCCCGAUGGCAAACCUUAUGGGUUGAAAGACCAAAUAUACCGGCAGCAUGGGGCUGGCUCGCCCCUUGCCGGGGGGUAGGUUGAUAGAGGCCGGCGGCGACGUCGGCAGUAGAUUGAUGAUAGAGACCGUCUCUGCAAAGAGAAGGGGACAGAACCCGGCUUAUGAUGUUG
rnacentral:RNase_P_RNA from 1 species